CGGGAGUUCAGAAGACCAGGAGGCUGAUAGGAAUGUGAAUAGUAAAGACUGUGCUCAUGAAAUUUCAAAUGGGAACAAGAAUUCUAUUGAGAAUUUGACCAGAGGUCAUGCAUAUUACAUUCUGGCUCCCUUGCAAUUAGCUGUGGCUGUGUAACUGUUGUUGGCCAAUGAGAAGUGACCAGAAAUAAGAAGUACCAAGGUAGUUAAUACCUGGAAAGUAUUAUCCACCCUUCUUUUCCUGAUGAGAUGUUCUUGAAGGUUACAGUUUCUAGCUGGCAAGAAGACAUAGGACUACCUGACCUACAUCUGCGUUUUACACACUACAGUAUUAGACAAUUUUGGACAAUGACAGCUGGAAAUUGAUCACUGCCCCCAACUUUAAUUUUCCUUGCUAUUUUACAGGGUGAGACGAUUUAUGGGUUUCGAAAUCUUCCUGUUGCAAUUAGAAUCAUGAUAGUAGCACCAGAGUGGCACAUUUCGUAAUUUCCAGAAGGCAAUCAGUGUAGUUGGACCCAAGGCCCUCUUGAUAAUAACAGAGGCAAUGUGGUCAAGUUCAAAUAAAUGGGCUGGACCGUCUCCUAUGGUAUUUCCCAUAACUGGAGGCAAAAUAACGUGAAAUCUUCAUUCAGCUGGGAAAAGCGGUUGGCAGCUGUUUGGAAGAGAUGAACACUGGUUGAGCUCCGUUGUAAAUGUUCCUGG
ensembl:lncRNA